CUGACUAGGAUCCCAUUCUGCUUUCGCCUUCGGGCGGUCCUGCCUCGCUUGGAAACGCUGCUACGUUGCUCCUGGUGGAUGAGCUUGCGUUCGUUUUGAGUUUGAGAACGCUGGAUGCAAAGAUGAGGAGUCUUGAUGGCUGAGGCUUUUGGUGUCCCCUCACUCGGGGGCCUCCCUCUCUUCCCGCCUCCCCCCGCCUCCCCACCCACCCCCUCACACCCGACCCCUACCACCCCAGGGCCCCGGCCGGGCCCCGCCCCUCCAGGCCGCAUCUGUCAGAGGGAGUUGAAAAGCCUCCUGACAGGACACGUCCUCCCUCAGCAGCCAGCCCUUCCUGGCUCCCUGGCUUCAGCUUUCCGUUCGCGUGGCUCGGGCAGCCUUUCGCAUCUUCUUUGCACCUGCCUGUGUUUGCAACAGAGGACCGUGGCCAAGGGAUCCAGGAAACCGGGAGGAGAGCUGGCUUCCGGGGAGGUGAAUGGGAAGGACAGGGAGGCAGAGAGGGAGCCUUGCCUCAGAGAACGGACUUUGAACCCCCGAAGGGAAAAGUCCUCCAGAUAAACCACGUCUUCCCCACCGAAUCCAAGAGCCAUACUCGCUCGCUGUGGAAAAAUGGGGACAUCCCGGUCAAAGCAGGACGAGAGAGGACCCAAAGCUCCCUCCUCUCCCCGUUCAGCCAUCGUCGUCCUGGGAGGGAGUCUCUUCACGGUUCGCUUCUCCUGCCGGCCCCGUUUCCCCUCCUGCCAACCCAGAGCCAGUUGCUGACCCUCAAUUUCGCCCCCGCUGGCUCGGCGUUUUGUCUGACUUUUCUUCCCUGUCACUUCAAGGUUUGCUUGUUCAUGAUCCUUUCUCCUGUGAGGUCUUUUGGUACAAUGAAGGCAAGUUCAUUUGUCACCUAUCGGACUGGGGUAUCCUGGGCAAUGUGUCCACCUGCACUUGAACAGAAUGAGGCCUGUGCUGUCAUCGGGAAGGCCUUGUCGAUGUCUGGUAGAUGGAGCUGCUUUCUAGCGUCCUGUUCUUGGUCCUGACUUUUCUGCCUUGUCCUUCUGUCAUCCCACACAUUCCAAGGUUGCCCCUCAGAAGGAGGAAAAGACCGAGAAUGACGGAGCAUUGAGAUAAACAAUGACAUUCACAGACACAUGCACAUGCUCGCUAACACAAACAGAGAGAGAGAGUUUUGGUGCCUGUCUAUUGUUCCUCAGUGUCCAUGUCAUGGUGUAUUUUUCUUAGUUUCCCUGGUCUCUAGACUCCCUGUCUGCAUGUUUUUGGCCCUCAGGGUUGAUCGCCAGCCCCAGGGCCCCUUUUUCUUGCUCAGCUCAGCUGCUGCACCCCGCCCUCAUGUGAGGUGGUGGUCUCUUGUGCUGAGCUUCUGUAUGUCAAUAUCAGUGUCUCUCUGUGUCCACUGGGUGUCUGUCUAGGUCUGUUCUUGGAUCCUCUCAAUUUCUUUGUCUGUCUCUGUAUUUCUCAGGUCCCUCAUUCAGGAGCUGUCCAGGGUCCCCGCGAGGUCUUCAUGGGCACGGGUUCUUGGUCUUUCUGCACAUUCUUGGGGCAAAAGUGGCCCCAGAGGAAGGGUGGCGUGGUUCUUCCAAUUUCCUCUGCUUGCGGUGAUGGCUCCAGUAGUGUUUUGGCAAGUUGGGACCAGGCUAGGGCAGCGGCGGUGGCUGUAGUCCCGGUUGGGUGGCUCCUCUGCGCAGAGGGGACUCAGAGGACCACUGACCCUGGGCCCUGACACCCUGAUGCUGCGAUGCCCCAAUGCCCCAGACCACAUGUCCUUCAACAGCCUGAUCUCCUGCAUUGCCCGCUGUAUCUGAGUGGGCAGGGGUCCUGGAGAUUCCUUGGAUGUAGUGGGAGAGAGCCUAGACUUGUGCCCCGCCACCUCCUCCACACAACUCCUAUGGUGCUAUAAGCCUGUUGGGCCCUGGGCAGGCAGCAGGGCAUUGCCCUGCAGGGUUUGUUUCCUGUUUUUCUGUGACAGAUGGAUGCAAUGGGAGUCAUUGGGAAGGCAUUGGUGUUUCUCACUUUUUAUCUGGCUUUAAUCGGCCUUGUGGCCUCUGAUAUAUAGCAGAGCAUGUUCAAGCUCACCUCUUGGAUUCCCAAGGAAUGACUUCAAAGUAAUGCAGUGAUAAACUGUUUUAGGCAGAGUGAUGUGGAUGAUGUCCUAGGGAUGGAGAAGGCAAACGGGGGAAGAACUGUGGGUUCCUGAAGGACCAUGUGAAGGAAUAUGUCUCUCCAAAAGGAACACCCACCUGCACUGUAAUGUGGGACAAUAUAUAGUGAUGUGCUGCUGAAAUUUGGGGAGUUAUUUGCAGCAGGACAAGGAGGAGCCAGCCCUGCACAAACCCGGGGAGAGUUGCCUGGCAGAAGGCCCAACACAGCAGACGCUUGGAGGCAGAAUCUCCCUCAGUGCAAGGCCACGUGGGCCUCUCUCCAUCUCCACCCAUAACACAGAGGCUUGUUCCCCAGAGCGAGGGAUCUGAGGGAGAGAGAGAGAACCAGGGCAGAGGGAGCAGCGGCCAGGCAGUGACUGUCUAUAACCAAGUCUUGGAAGAAGCGGCACUGGGUCACUUUGCAUCUUCUGUGGAAUAGAAGUUUGUACAGACUGUGCUGUGUGUGUGGAGGGGAGAGUCACACGGGUGUGAGAGGUGGCAAAGACACUGAGGCUCCCACUUGGCUUCCGGGCACUGUCUACAGAGCACCACAUGGGAGGCCAGACAGGUGUGGAUCAGCAGGGUGCUCCACUCCUUCUCCCUGAGGAGAGGAAGAUGCCCCACGCCACCAACAGAGUCCACCACCGGCUCAGGGUGGAAGUGCAUUGACAGAGAACAGGAAUGAGGCCUGCAUGGUGUGGACCGUCCAGGCAGGGAUGCUGCAGAAGCUACUGGAGCACCUGGUGCCCGCCUUCCUGGGCAGCAGCCCCACCUACGUCCCCACCCUUCUGGGCACCUGCAGAGCUUUUGCCACCACCCGACAGGUACUGGUCCUGCUGUUUAAAAGGACCAUUUCUUCCAUUCUGGGCACCUGGCUGGACCAGUACUCUGAGGGUUUUUUCAGGCCCCAGAAUCUCCCCACCUGAAGAUUUUGUUGCCCUACAUGGGGCUCAACAUGCAGGCUCGGGACCUGGAGUGCCAGGCCAACCUUCUCUUGGCACAGCUCAAGCACCAUGCGUCCACUGAGGCAGAGACUGAGGCGCCAGCUCCAGAGCAGGAUCCAGAACCACCUCAAGAGCUAACACGGGCUCCAACUCCAGUGCCCGCUGCAGCUCAGAGCCACAGAUCCAGAUUCAGAGCCAGAGCAGACUCAAGCCUGCUUGACAGCUGUCAUUCAAGUUCAAGAGCAGGAACAACCACCUGUGUCAUCGCAGCAACUGGUCUCAGCUCCUGAGCUGGAGCACCAGAGAAUUCCUUCCUCUCUCUUAUUAUUGCAUUUUAAAAAUUUUGGUUUUCAUCUUACAUAGACUUAACGGUUUCCUAUAUUUCAUCUUAUAAUAUUGACUAAAAUAAAUUUUAACUAUUUGAUCCUUUUAAAUUGUACAUUUAAGCAGCAUGAAGAACACUCACAACGUUGCACAGCCGUGACCACUCUCUAGGUCAGGGACAUUUUCGUCAUAGAGAAACCCUGUCAAUCAGUCAGCCGUCCUUCCUCUGAGCCCCAGUCCUGGCAACCACCCAUCUCCUUUCUGUGUCUAUGAAUUUACCUCUCCUGGAUUUUUCAUAUAAGUGGAAUCAGACAAUGUGUGGCCAUUUGUAUCUGGCUACGUAGUGUAUGAGGAGAGUGCUUGAAAUUUUUUUUUGUUUUUAAUAAAAAUAAUUCUUUAUUAAGAAGGAAAAUCCAUGAUAGAUCAAAGAUUAUGUAAAAAUGAAGCCCCAAUCAUAAAUAUAUUAAUUAUCUUUGGAUAGAGAUCACUUUUAUAAAUAUGAUGCAAGAGAUGGAAACCGUAAGGGAAAUGUCUGGGGCAGUGAGGCACCGUGAAAAUCUUUUAUU